rnacentral:tRNA from 1 species
GUUAAGUUAGUUUAGCUAUAAAACAUCAACCUGUGGAUUUGAAAAGAGGAUUUAAUCCUACUUAACC